rnacentral:lncRNA from 1 species
UUUUUUUUUAUUUUCCACAUCAGGUUGACAUAGCAGACCUAUAAGUCAGAAACUUUACGUAUUCUUUAUAGCACAUAUUUUAGAGGGACACUUGGCAUAUAUUUUCAUGAUGCUUUAUUUUGGGCUUUACAGGCCUUUUGAACUGUUCAAUACAGCUCUAAUGCUACAGCAGUCGGGUUCCUUUAUUUCUCCUUAUUGCCUUUUAAAAUGCUUUGUUACCUUUUUGAUAGCCCAUUCAUGCCAUGGGGGGUUAAACAAAAUGUGCGGUGGAACUUAUCCUGGUCUGAAGUUGUAGGGAAGUAUGAGUGUGGCACCAGAAGGAAGAGAGUAUUGUCUGCCUACUUGUGUGGGCAGUAUAUCUUUAGGUGACUGUGGUUUUGAAGAAGAGGAACACUUGUGGAUCAUGGUUGACCCUUGACCAUUUAAUGUUUAUUGGGCUGAAAGUCACAGGCUGCUUGUGACAGGUGGUACCAAUGCGAGAGGAAGGGUUUAAAGGAAAUGGGCCCAUCCUGCCUUCCCCUCUUUGAGUGCAUGGUUUAAGAUUAACCAUCUCCAUUGUGCAUCCUGGCUGAAGGACUCUUCAGUGGUAUGCUUCGAGCUUCCAAUACCCUUUUUUUUUUUUUUUUUUUUUUUUUGAAGAUUGCCUUCCUAUCUGCCCACCAGUUCUAGGAUCUUUAACCGCCUCAUGCCCAGGCAGUGUGAAUUAGCCGAGUCUUGUUUGAUAGGAGGAAGAUGUUUGAUUGGAAGUCUUGAAGCAAACCCUCCCUUAGACCAAAGACCCCUAAAGCAGCAGGAGGGUGAGGGGAAAUAUGGAGUCUAAACCCCUCGUCACCUAUCUAUCAUAAAUUUUAAUUGUAAUAUUGGAAGAUACAGGAAACUAUAUAAGACCAUGCUGGUAGGAUAUAAUGAACCCAGGUAAUUUGGGAAUAACAUUUGGCUGUAUUUGAUAUAUCCAGGUGCCCUAACUUAACAGCUUGGUUCUCCAGCAAAGAACAUGCUUCUCUAAACUGGCCGUCUCACUUGAGACAAACUCUGCCUGCCAGAAACUACCAUUUGAGGCAAGUGAGUUUUCUGCAUGAAGAGCUUCUGCAGCUCCCCUUCACGAGGCAAGUCUACCUGUUUGUCCAUUUUUAUUAGGAACAUCAGAUCUGCAUCUCUGAAGGCUUUGACCCUUAAGAUGGUCAGUAAGAACCUCUCAGCUGAGUCUGAGUGAAUCUUUGGAGCCCAACAGAGUUACACUUAAUUUUCCGCAAGAGAAAAAUGUGUUGGAUAAGCUCACAUGUGAGGUAUUAAGAGAAAUUCCAUAUUGUGCUGCUUCUGACUCUGCCUCAUGGGUUGAGUAAGGCCUCGGUGGAGUUUGGUUCAAAGGUGUUGAGUGUCUGCUUCCUCAGCCAAGGUGUCUCACUGCCCUUUUAGGGAAAACACCAUGAACAGCCAGAACUGUGUCAAUCAAGUCUAUUUUCUGUUUUUCAGCAUCUUGUUUUGAAGAAUUGGGGUGGGAAAAUGGUAGAUGAGAUUCAAAGUAAAGGAAAGAAUCAGUUCUAGAACUGGGGCACUUUGCUUCAGGUACAGGCAUCUGUCCCAAAUAUGUAGCAACACCUCCCUCACAUAUGUGAGUAGGUUCACUUUUCCUCUCCAUCCAGUGAACUCCACGCCUUCCUCACUGCAAGGAGGGCUUCUGCCUACCAGGCACCUACCCAGAGUCACCCAGAUGGGGAUUGGCAUCCCUCACAGAACCACCAGUGCUUCUGGGCAUGGCUUUCACCAGGGCAAGGGCUGGAAGGCAGUAAAUGAGAAUCCCUACCCCAUGAAGAGAUGGGACAAGAGAGGUGUCCAGACACAUACCCUUUCUCUUCUGCCAUACCCAAAGAACCCAGGGAAAUCUUUGAAGCGAUGACUUUUUUAUUAAAGUAGAAGAAAUCUUUGCCCCACUAAGUUUUGCUUGUCACUAUUGCUUACUACUAACUUUCACUAAUUCAAAUCUGUGUCACACUGCUGCUCACACAUAUACAUGUGUUUCUUACCUUAGCCUAACCCUUCUCAGCCCCUGGAGUCAUUACUUCUGUUUUGUUUUUCUUUCUUUUCUUUUUUUUUCUCUUUUCCUUUUUUCUUUUUUUAAUGGCACUAGUAAAUGACAACCGAAAGUCUUAGGAAAUCCUAACCUGAAAAGGAGUCUUUAACUGGCAUGGUUUGAUUAAUACUUUACCUGCCCACCCCCUCUCCCCCUACACCCCCAAAGACUUGAAUGAUUUUCUUUCCUAGUGCUAUAUGAUAGACCUGUAAAAAGUGAAACCUUUGCUGCUGCUUUUCUGGGUUUACAUAUUUUUUUCCUGCCCUUAAUAAUUUCUUACCUGUGCUUCUCUGAUGACUGUUACUUUCUAAUAAGUGCAGGAGGAGGUGAGCCUGAGAUUGUUUCUCUGACUCCCCUCCUCACCCUACCCCCAAACUACAUGCUAACCUCUAACACACACAAGACCAGGAGCCGGGACUCAGCAGAAGCUGUGUGGGUGUUUUCUCAUAUGCUGCCACCGUUGCUGUGGGAGCUGGCCCCUGAGGGCCUGUGACUUCCCAGGACGAAGGGUUCCAAGCUACUGUUGGUAGGGGAGAAAAAGGCCUUCUGCAUCUGCCUUUCUCCGUUCCUGUUUAAUGACUCAGCCUUUAGCCUCCUCCCACCCUAGCUGCCUCCUUUUUCCUAUCUGGAACUGUUUCCAGGUCACCUGCCUAGUGCAGUUCCUGGCCGCUCUCUCCAGCCUUGCCCACCUUCUGGUGACACUGAGAGCACAGACCUGUGCAGAGUUCAGACAGCAGGGAGGACAACCUCUGCCCAUUGGACUCUGCCUGAGGACGCAGAUGGGUGGGCAAAUGGUGCUGGGAGAGAAAUUCUUACCUUCAAACCAGGCUGUUUCAUCCCUGCACUGACCCCCUCUGACGCCUCUUCCCCUGAGGGGACAGAAGGCAGAGGAUGGUUGAAUGGCAGGGUCUGAUCCCAGACUUGCUGUGGCCUAAGCCUCCUUCAGCUCUGCUUUGGAGUGCUUCAGUGCGUGAGAACUGCUGCUUGCUUGUUUCUCCACUAGGCCUGCACCAGCACUCAGCUGGUCCCUGCGGCUGACACACAGUCCCCGACUUGGUGACUGAACACCAGGCUCCAUUAGCUGUCCAAGUGACUGCUUCCACCCGAUACUUUUGGCGCUUGAGGAUGGGGGGGAGGGAGGGUUAUUUAAAAUCCAAGGUGGCAGUAGAGGAUUCCUUUUGCUUUAAAAUCUUUGGACUAAAAGAAAAAUGUUUUUUAUAUAUAAAUAUAUAAAGUAAAUUGUUAUGUAACUAUUACUGUUUCCUGUAUGUUCUAAUUUUGUUUAUGAUGUAAUUAAAGGAAAUAAGCUG